CAAAUUAUUUUGCUUCCCACUGUGACAUUAUGGGUUUGAACUACUAAUUGUAGUAAUCAUAAUAACAGCUAGCAUUAAUUGAGGAUUUACUUUGUGCCAGUCCCUUCCUUAAAGGACUUUAUAUUCAUUAUCUCAAGCUAACUUAUGUAACAAUUAUAUGGCAUAGAUACCAUCGUUAUCCUCAUUUUUCUGGUUAAAAAAUUGGGUCAGGUUUUGGGUCAGGGCACAGAGAGAGGGCACUUGCCCAUCUCACAGCUUUUAAGUGGCAGAGUUGGGACUUGAACCUACUUCAUCUGAUGCCUGAGCCUUAAGAACGCAGAUGCCUUGAUGUCCUAUCCUUCAGCACAUACAAAACAAAACAAGCAAACACAUUAGAAUGAACGUGGAAUAAAUACGAAAGACCCUAUCUAGCCUGAGAGUCAACUUUGAGUGCAACUUUGAGUCAAAGACCACGGAGGGGAUGCAUGGAGUAUUAGGACAAUUCUGAGGCAUGUUCUCCAUGAUAUCUCAGAGGUCUCCAGUGGAACCGAUCCUCAGUUUCCUGAAGAAGUAACCAACUCAGUAACACACCCUGCCAACAUUCCCAUCUCUGUCGUGACUCCCUCACUUAAGAUCACCUUGCAAAUAAGUCA